rnacentral:siRNA from 1 species
AGCGACAGUCGCCAGGGACCAGC